UACGGAAGGCAGCAGUGGGGAAUAUUGCACAAUGGGCGCAAGCCUGAUGCAGCCAUGCCGCGUGUAUGAAGAAGGCCUUCGGGUUGUAAAGUACUUUCAGUCGUGAGGAAGGUGUUAAGGUUAAUAACCUUAGCAAUUGACGUUAGCGACAGAAGAAGCACCGGCUAACUCCGUGCCAGCAGCCGCGGUAAUACGGAGGGUGCGAGCGUUAAUCGGAAUUACUGGGCGUAAAGGGCACGCAGGCGGUUAAUUAAGUUGGAUGUGAAAUCCCCGGGCUUAACCUGGGAAUGGCAUUCAAGACUGGUUAGCUAGAGUCUUGUAGAGGGGGUUAGAAUUCCAUGUGUAGCGGUGAAAUGCGUAGAGAUGUGGAGGAAUACCGGUGGCGAAGGCGGCCCCUGGGACAAAGACUGACGCUCAUGUGCGAAAGCUGGGGAGCAAAC
rnacentral:rRNA from 1 species